AUGAUCCAUCUGCCACACAGCUUGGGCACCUACUGUGUGCAGCACUUUGUCUUAGGAAGAGACUGGAGGGAGCAGGGGCCUGGAGCCCACCUUCAGAGGACUCCCAGAAUGCUGGGGCCUGGGAGCACAGGGCCGCAGCAGACAGCACUGCUGGGAGGGACCGGGGAGCCCAGCCAAGCUCCUGUGCACAAACUGCUCCCGGCAUAUGCUCCUCAUUUCAUACAUCAUUUGCAAGGAGCUGCAGCCAUUUUGCAAAGUCUCUUCCUGCUCCAGGAGCAUCUGGGCUUUGGCUUCUGUCUUUUCUGCUCGGUCUCCUGCCCUUUAUGUCGUCUCCUUCCACUGCCACCAGCAGCCCCAGACAAUAUUUCUCUGUAAGUUUGGGAGAUCCAGGUGGAGGACCACACCAAAGGAGACAGCUGGCUUAGCAGACGUUUCUCUGACAAUUAGCCGUGUGGGCAAACCUUGAAUCCUGGGGGCACUUCUAAAAGGUCUGCUGCUAUGGGUUCUGGCUCCAGGCCCAGAGAAGUGUUCAAGAGAAGCCUGAAAAAAAUACAGCUCAGAGAGGUUACAUGACUAACCCAGGAGCACACAGCCAGGGAGGUGACAACAGGCUCUGCUCAUGACAGCCUGGACCAGACACCUCCCAGAAGCAUGUGGUGAUGCUGAUUGGGAGAAAGAAGGAAGCUGGGAGUACCUCCUGAAGAGCCCAGCCCCCCACGACCAACCAGCUCAGAGAACCCAGGGACCCCAGCCCAUGGGAGGAAAACUCGCUGGGCCCUGAACCCCAUGAAUGUGGCACACAGGACCACCCUGGGCGUAAUGGGAUUUGGUUUCCCUCCACCAGGUAGGCACCCUUCAGAAAUCAGAAAAUGCCUGAGGCUUUCCUUGAGAGGCUCCUGCUGAGUUACAGAGGAGGAGCGGAGGAGGAAGCAGAAACCCUCCCAGACCCAGCUUUGCCAGGCUGAGAAGUGGAGAGGUGAUUUUGAAAACCUGCCCACACAUUUCCUUCUCCCAACCAUCAUGAGGGUUAAGACGGAGACGCAGAAGAAAGGGAGCAACGCCUUUGUCUAUUCAUCUGCGGGAGUGGUCAGGGCGUCCAGACAGGAGGACAAACUCCAGACCCCAGCGGGUUCGACAGGUGCUUGGAAUUUGCAAUCAACAGGAUUUCCAGAAGACUCUACAGGACCUCCAGAAGAAUCUGGGGGUUGAAUUUUUUUGUAGCUUGAAUGUGGAGUCAAGAAAAUCCCUAGAUUUGGAAUCACAAGUCUGGGGUUCUAAUCACAGCCUGCAUGUAGCAGGUGCACACAAACACGGUUUUAAGGCAAGAGAAAGAAAACUGAUAACAUGGGAUAUCAUGCCACAGCUCCUCAUCUGACCUGUGCACGAGCCAAGCCCUGUCUCAACAAAUGCAUCUGAUGUCCUUUUUCAUACUACCUCAGCAGGAGCCUGAGCCAGGUAUUAUCCCAUUUCACAGAGGAAGAAACUGAGGCUCAGGGAGAUUAGAUCCCUCGCCCCAGUCCCGCAAGCUGGUCAGCGCAGGAGCCAGGAGGCGAGCCCAGGUCACUGGCAGUAAAAGCAUGGGCCCUCCACCAGCAGAACUCCUAUCUAAGAGGAGAAAGUGCAGCCCCAAAGCCUGGGUUCCCUCAGCAAAUGCUGGAGUCUCCAAAAAAGAGUUCAGACGACUCUGGGUUCCACAGCUCCCCGCCUCCUUUAUUACAGCCCGGUGCUCCCGUUUCCAGAAUCACUAGGCAGAGGCUGGAACCUGCCUGAUUCAUUCCUUUAAUCAGAGCUGAAGCAGCUUCCUGAAGAACACUUACACCCUCGUUAAAAUUAAGUCAUUGCUUUAAUAACCACAGGGCAGAGACGGCUGCAGCUGGGAACAUGUGAGCUCUUAGCAUUGCCCAUGGGUCUUGAUGAGCUGGGCACUGCCAUGGGAUACCAGGCACUCCAAUUUCUCUGCUUCCUAUCUGAUGCCUUUCUCCUUUUCUCCAAGGGCCACAGCAAAGGAGAUAGCUGGCUUGGCAGGUGUUUCUCAGACAAUUAGCCAUGUGGGCAAGCCGUGAGUCCUGGGGGCACUUCUAAAAGGUCUGCUGCUAUGGGUUCUGGCUCCAGGCCCAGAGAAGUGUUCAAGAGAAGCCUGAAAAUAAAUACAGCUCAGAGAGGUUACAUGACUUACCCGGGAGCACACAGCCAGCUAGAGGGAGCACAGGGUCUUGAACCCAAGUCUGUAUAAAUCUUAAACCCAACUCAAUAAAUUAAUCCCACCUCA